GCGGGCGUGGUGAAAUUGGUAUACACACCGGACUUAAAAUCCGGAGGCCUAGGCCGUGCGGGUUCAAGUCCCGCCGCCCGCACCA
rnacentral:tRNA from 1 species